GACGAACGCUGGCGGCGUGCCUAAUACAUGCAAGUCGAGCGAAUGGAUUAAGAGCUUGCUCUUAUGAAGUUAGCGGCGGACGGGUGAGUAACACGUGGGUAACCUGCCCAUAAGACUGGGAUAACUCCGGGAAACCGGGGCUAAUACCGGAUAACAUUUUGAACCGCAUGGUUCGAAAUUGAAAGGCGGCUUCGGCUGUCACUUAUGGAUGGACCCGCGUCGCAUUAGCUAGUUGGUGAGGUAACGGCUCACCAAGGCAACGAUGCGUAGCCGACCUGAGAGGGUGAUCGGCCACACGGGGACUGAGACACGGCCCAGACUCCUACGGGAGGCAGCAGUAGGGAAUCUUCCGCAAUGGACGAAAGUCUGACGGAGCAACGCCGCGUGAGUGAUGAAGGCUUUCGGGUCGUAAAACUCUGUUGUUAGGGAAGAACAAGUGCUAGUUGAAUAAGCUGACACCUUGACGGUACCUAACCAGAAAGCCACGGCUAACUACGUGCCAGCCGCCGCUGUAA
rnacentral:rRNA from 1 species